GACGAACGCUGGCGGCGUGCUUAACACAUGCAAGUCGAACGGUAAGGCCCCUUCGGGGGUACACGAGUGGCGAACGGGUGCGUAACACGUGAGCAACCUGCCCUUGACUCUGGAAUAACAGUUGGAAACAGCUGCUAAUACUGGAUAUUCAUCGUCUCCUUCCUGGGGGGUGGUGGAAAGCUCCGGCGGUCAGGGAUGGGCUCGCGGCCUAUCAGCUUGUUGGUGAGGUAAUGGCUCACCAAGGCUUCGACGGGUAGCCGGCCUGAGAGGGCGACCGGCCACACUGGGACUGAGAUACGGCCCAGACUCCUACGGGAGGCAGCAGUGGGGAAUAUUGCACAAUGGGCGCAAGCCUGAUGCAGCAACGCCGCGUGCGGGAUGACGGCCUUCGGGUUGUAAACCGCUUUCAGUAGGGACGAAGGGUGACUGACGGUACCUACAGAAGAAGGGCCGGCUAACUACGUG
rnacentral:rRNA from 1 species